rnacentral:rRNA from 1 species
GAUGAACGCUGGCGGCGUGCCUAAUACAUGCAAGUCGAGCGAACAGAUGAGGAGCUUGCUCCUCUGACGUUAGCGGCGGACGGGUGAGUAACACGUGGAUAACCUACCUAUAAGACUGGGAUAACUGCGGGAAACCGGAGCUAAUACCGGAUAAUAUAUUGAACCGCAUGGUUCAAUAGUGAAAGACGGUUUUGCUGUCACUUAUAGAUGGAUCCGCGCCGCAUUAGCUAGUUGGUAAGGUAACGGCUUACCAAGGCAACGAUGCGUAGCCGACCUGAGAGGGUGAUCGGCCACACUGGAACUGAGACACGGUCCAGACUACUGCGGGAGGGAGCAGUAGGGAAUCUUCCGCAAUGGGCGAAAGCCUGACGGAGCAACGCCGCGUGAGUGAUGAAGGUCUUCGGAUCGUAAAACUCUGUUAUUAGGGAAAAACAAAUGUGUAAGUAAAUAUGCACGUAUUGACGGUACCUAAUCAGAAAGCCACGGCUAACUACGUG